rnacentral:tRNA from 1 species
GGGUACGUAGCUCAGUUGGAUAGAGCAUCCGCCUUCUAAGCGGACGGUCACAGGUUCGAGUCCUGUCGUACCCACUA